AUACGAACUGUGCAAACGUUAUUCGGAAUCACUGGGCUUAAAGGGUGCGUAGGCGGACUUGAAGGUCCGAUGUGAAAUCCCACGGCUCAACCGUGGAAUUGCGUCGGAAACCACAAGUCUUGAGGGAGACAGAGGUAAGCGGAACUGAUGGUGGAGCGGUGAAAUGCGUUGAUAUCAUCAGGAACACCGGUGGCGAAAGCGGCUUACUGGGACUUUUCUGACGCUGAGGCACGAAAGCUAGGGGAGCGAACGGAAUUAGAAACCCCAGUAGUCC
rnacentral:rRNA from 1 species